UGGGGCAUAUUGGACAAUGGGCGAAAGCCUGAUCCAGCCAUGCUGCGUGUGUGAAGAAGGUCUUCGGAUUGUACAGCACUUUAAGUUGGGAGGAAGGGCAUUAACCUAAUACGUUAGUGUUUUGACGUUACCGACAGAAUAAGCACCGGCUAACUCUGUGCCCGCAGCCGCGGUAAUACAGAGGGUGCAAGCGUUAAUAGGAAUUACUGGGCGUAAAGCGCGCGUAGGUGUUUUGUUAAGUUGGAUGUGAAAUCCCCGGGCUCAACCUGGGAACUGCAGUCAAAACUGACUGACUAGAGUAUGGUAGGGGGUGGUGGAAUUUCCUGUGUAGCGGUGAAAUGCGUAGAUAUAGGAAGGAACACCAGUGGAGAAGGCGACCACCUGGACUAAUACUGACACUGAGGUGCGAAAGCGUGGGGAGCAAACA
rnacentral:rRNA from 1 species